CAGGGAGACAACAAAAUGUUUAAUAUUAUAAUUUUGUCACCUUAGGUCGAUCGGUAUCUCACAUCCUUAUAUUUAUUAAGGAUUUCAUUUCCUAAGUUUUUCUAGGUCACACCCAUUACUUUUCCUGGGCCAUUAGCUCAGGUGGUUAGAGCGCACCCCUGAUAAGGGUGAGGUCCCUGGUUCAAGUCCAGGAUGGCCCAUAUCUCUAUGUUGGGGGUAUAGCUCAGUUGGUAGAGCGCCUGCUUUGCAAGCAGGAUGUCAGCGGUUCGAGUCCGCUUACCUCCACUGAUUACCACCUCUUCCAUAAGCAUAUAGACAGGAAAUGUUUUGAGUCGUAAUCAAAUUCUGAACGAAUCUAGCUUCCUAAUAAUCUUAUUAAGAUGCUGGAAUCACUGAAUUAAAUUCAUUGUUUUCAGAGAACCUUGACAACUGCAUAGAUUAUUUUUAAAGACAAUAAGCAUCUUUAAUGAUGCAGAUUUAAUUAUUUGUGCGAAUGCAUUAAUAACAAUUCUAUUAAGCUGAUGCUUCAAUAUUUGAAGUUAUUG
rnacentral:tRNA from 1 species